GGGUCAGUAGGUUGGUCGUGCCACCGGUACGUACUGGUCUCACUGAUUCCUCCUUCCUGAAGAACCGUAAUGCCAUUAAUUUGGUGUUGCGGGGAAACAGGACUGUUACUUUGAAAAAAUUAGAGUGUUUAAAGCAAGCUAACGCUUGAAUACAUUAGCAUGGAAUAAUGAAGUAGGACGAUCGAUCCUAUUUUGUCGGUUUCUAGGAUUGACGUA
rnacentral:rRNA from 1 species